rnacentral:rRNA from 1 species
UACGAAGGGGGCUAGCGUUGCUCGGAAUUACUGGGCGUAAAGGGCGCGUAGGCGGACAGUUUAGUCAGAGGUGAAAGCCCAGGGCUCAACCUUGGAAUUGCCUUUGAUACUGGCUGUCUUGAGUUCGGGAGAGGUGGAGUGGAAUGCCGAGUGUAGAGGUGAAAUUCGUAGAUAUUCGGCGGAACACCAGUGGCGAAGGCGACUCACUGGCCCGAUACUGACGCUGAGGCGCGAAAGCGUGGGGAGCAAACAGG